GGGGGGAACCCUGAUCCAGCCAUGCCGCGUGUGUGAAGAAGGCCUUUUGGUUGUAAAGCACUUUAAGCGAGGAGGAGGCUACUGGUAUUAAUACUACCGGAUAGUGGACGUUACUCGCAGAAUAAGCACCGGCUAACUCUGUGCCAGCAGCCGCGGUAAUACAGAGGGUGCGAGCGUUAAUCGGAUUUACUGGGCGUAAAGCGUGCGUAGGCGGCUUUUUAAGUCGGAUGUGAAAUCCCUGAGCUUAACUUAGGAAUUGCAUUCGAUACUGGGAGGCUAGAGUAUGGGAGAGGAUGGUAGAAUUCCAGGUGUAGCGGUGAAAUGCGUAGAGAUCUGGAGGAAUACCGAUGGCGAAGGCAGCCAUCUGGCCUAAUACUGACGCUGAGGUACGAAAGCAUGGGGAGCAAACAGGAUUAGAUACCCUGGUAGUCCAUGCCGUAAACGAUGUCUACUAGCCGUUGGGGCCUUUGAGGCUUUAGUGGCGCAGCUAACGCGAUAAGUAGACCGCCUGGGGAGU
rnacentral:rRNA from 1 species